rnacentral:rRNA from 14 species
UUUAGCAAGCACCUUUGUGUAAACUCUGUAUAAAGAGUAAAAUAUACAAAAUUGACGUGAUUAACCGAAAUCGGAAAAGCACUAAUGUUUGUUAAAUC